rnacentral:rRNA from 1 species
GGGCCUCGAUGAGACUCUGGGUCACCUCCACCCGUGUCUAUCGUACCUUGUUGCUUCGGCGGGCCCGCCGUUUCGACGGCCGCCGGGGAGGCCCUGCGCCCCCGGGCCCGCGCCCGCCGAAGACCCCAACAUGAACGCUGUUCUGAAAGUAUGCAGUCUGAGUUGAUUAUCGUAAUCAGUUAAAACUUUCAACAACGGAUCUCUUGGUUCCGGCAUCGAUGAAGAACGCAGCGAAAUGCGAUAAGUAAUGUGAAUUGCAGAAUUCAGUGAAUCAUCGAGUCUUUGAACGCACAUUGCGCCCCCUGGUAUUCCGGGGGGCAUGCCUGUCCGAGCGUCAUUGCUGCCCUCAAGCACGGCUUGUGUGUUGGGCCCCCGUCCCCCUCUCCCGGGGGACGGGCCCGAAAGGCAGCGGCGGCACCGCGUCCGGUCCUCGAGCGUAUGGGGCUUUGUCACCUGCUCUGUAGGCCCGGCCGGCGCCAGCCGACACCCAACUUUAUUUUUCUAAGGUUGACCUCGGAUCAGGUAGGGAUACCCGCUGAACUUAAGCAUAUCAAUAAGCGGAGGA